rnacentral:rRNA from 1 species
UACGGAGGGUGCAAGCAUUAAUCGGAUUUAUUGGGCGUAAAGGGCGCGUAGGCGGGAAGAUAAGUCAGAUGUGAAAUCCCGGGGCUCAACCCCGGAACAGCAUUUGAAACUGUCUUUCUCAGAGGGUAGGCGGAGGAAAUGGAAUUCCACAAGUAGCAGUGAAAUGCGUAGAUAUGUGGAAGAACACCAGUGGCGAAGGCGGUUUCCUAGCUUAUACCUGACGCUAAAGCGCGAAAGCAAGGGGAGCAAACAGG